GAGAGAUGCUCGCAGCAGCAGAGGCCGCUAACCUUUGCCCCCCUUGGUUGAACUCCGAGGCUCACUCG
rnacentral:tRNA from 1 species